rnacentral:tRNA from 1 species
UGCGAGGUCGUCUAAAGGUAGGACAGCGGCCUUUGAAGCCGUCAAUGAUGGUUCGAUUCCAUCCCUCGCAACCA